AUUGAACGCUGGCGGCAGGCCUAACACAUGCAAGUCGAACGAGUGGCGGACGGGUGAGUAAUGUAUGGGGAUCUGCCUGAUGGCGGGGGAUAACUACUGGAAACGGUAGCUACUACCGCAUACCAUCAGAUGUACCCAGAUGGGAUUAGCUAGUAGGUGGGGUAACGGCUCACCUAGGCGACGAUCCCUAGCUGGUCUGAGAGGAUGACCAGCAAAACUGGAACUGAGACACGGCCCAGACUCCUACGGGAGGCAGCAGUGGGGAAUAUGGCACAAGGGGCGCAAGCCUGAUGCAGCCAUGCCGCGUGUAUGAAGAAGGCCUUCGGGUUGUAAAGUACUUUCAGCGAGGAGGCGUUACCGACAGAAGAAGCACCGGCUAACUCCGUGCCAGCAGCCGCGGUAAUAC
rnacentral:rRNA from 1 species